GGAGCUAGUGCAGAAGUUAAUGGAUGAAAUUCGAAUUCUUUUGGCAUGUAUUUCACAUACCAUGAUCCCAUGAAGAAUCUUGAUAGGACUAGGGUUAACGGUGCGGUUACUAAACUUAUUAAAGUGAAGGAUGGCUUCACAAUGACUGCCUUAGAGGUUGGCCUUGCAUGAUGCCAUAUACUUGGUUUAUUUUAGAAAUGGAUGCUGCAGGAGAAAAUUGUUUAAUAUUAUAGUAGACACAGAAAAUACUGGAAAGCAACUUCUUCAAAAUGGUGAUCUCCGAAGAAGAGUUACACAGUUAUCCAUCUAAACCAAAUUCAAUCCCAAAAUGCUUCUGUUAGAUUGGUUGGCAAGGGGAAUGCAGAAGUGGCUCUGUCUUUGGUUGGAUAUGAUCAGGAACUGAAGCGUGCUAUGGAAUAUGUAUUUGGUUCAACAUUUGUUUGCAAAACUAUUGAUGCAACGAGGGAGGGGUGGUGGUGAUCUAUUAAGGCAACUUCAUGCUUUGGCAGAGGUUGAAUCCAAACUUUCUAUUCAUCAGAAGAGAUUAUCUGAAAUUGAAGCUGAGGUGCUGGUGGUGGAAGGAAUGUGAGUGCUCAUAAGGAAAAUGCAGUCAGUAAUAGCAUGGAGAGAGGUUUUAAGCCCUCCCUGUCAGUUCCAGAAAAAA